UACGUAGGGCGCAAGCGUUGUCCGGAAUUAUUGGGCGUAAAGAGCUCGUAGGCGGCUUGUUGCGUCGGAUGUGAAAGCCCGGGGCUUAACCCCGGGUCUGCAUUCGAUACUGCCAUGACUAGAGUUCGGUAGGGGAGUGUGGAAUUCCUGGUGGAGCGGUGAAAUGCGCAGAUAUCAGGAGGAACACCCGUAGCGAAGGCGGCACUCUGGGCCGGAACUGACGCUGAGGAGCGAAAGCGUGGGGAGCGAACAGG
rnacentral:rRNA from 1 species